UUUUAAAAUUUAGUUCAAAGAUGCUUUGCCUGCAGGUUUGCAGGCAUUCUUGCUUACAUUUUGCUUACAGAACUAUAUCCAGUUCUAACUUUGCGAUUCUUCUUCUUCCUGCAGUAGCAGCUCUUGCGUCAGCUUUUUGAGAUACGUGGCUUGUUUUAGAAGCUCGUGGCAGCAAAAGCCGAUUGCUCCAAUCGUCAACGCGGCUUCCGAAUGCACUAGCUGGAAAUCUCCGUAGAUUUCUUCUGGAGUUGAGGUGUCGACGUCGUCUUUGAUGCUAGACUCUUCGAACUGAUUCUCUAUGUCUGCAGUAUGCUGGACCUUGCUUCUUUUUUGGCGCAGGGACUGAUAAGUGCACUCGAAAGUUUUUGAGAGGCCAAUUUGGCUUAUCUUUAGUUGGCGAGUGACACCACCAGUGAACAGUUUGCCUUCUGACCGGAAGUCGACUGUUGCGAGGCUCAGAUACCGUCAUGAAACGGUGCGUGCCAGAAGUCAGGCUCUGCUCUUGCUUCAGCUGUAUCGCUGCUUUAAAGCACUCACUGCAUUCUAUGCUGUGCACGUCAAAUAUCACCUGCAUGCAUUCCUGGAUUUUCUUCAAGUUAAGCUCGAGUUCCCUGCGUGCAAGUCUCGCUGCUCUCCUGG